AUGGACCUUCGAGAAAGUACGGUGACAGAAAUGAUCCAAAGGGAUGAAAGAUCAAAAUGGUUAUCAUAUAGCAACCAUAACAUAAAAUGCUUCACAGAGGCCGAGAUAGGAAGAAUUACCAGCAACUAUGAAACUAUCAUUGGAAAAGGUGGCUUCGGAGAAGUUUACAAAGGUGUUCUCCAAGAUGGAAGAAUAGUUGCAGUCAAGAAAUUUGUGUGUAAUGUAGAAGAAAAUUUUGCCAAAGAGCUUAAAGUCCACUGUGAAAUCAACCACAAGAAUGUAGUUAGGCUCAUUGGCUACUGUGCCGAGGAAAAUGCCCUAAUGAUAGUCAGUGAGUAUAUAUCUAAAGGGAAUCUUAGCGAUGUUCUUCACCAUGAAUGCAUUCCCAUCACAAUGGAUACACGACUGCGAAUUGCGGUGGAGUGUUCAGAGGCAUUGUGUUAUAUGCAUUCACAAAUGUAUACUCAGGUCAUUCAUGGUGAUAUCAAGCCUGCCAAUAUACUAUUAGAUGACAACUUCAAUGCAAAAAUAUCUGACUUUGGAAUAUCAAGACUUGUCAACACAGACUCAGCCCUUUUCACUGAGCAUGUAAUGGGGAGCAUAGGUUACAUGGACCCUUUGUUUGCUCGCACCGGGCGUCUCACCACAAAGAGUGAUGUUUACAGUUUCGGAAUUGUUCUGGUUGAAUUGAUCACAAAGAAAAAGGCAACAGUAAGAAAAGGGGAGACCGGCAUAGUUGAUUGUUUCAUCCAAGCUCUUGCAACAGGGAAGAGAAGGGUGAGAGAGCUGUUCGAUGUUGAAAUCUCAAGCCAGAACAACAUGAAGGUUCUCGAAGGGGUUGCAAAGUUAGCAGGACAAUGUUUGAAGAUGGAAAUGGAUGGACGCCCUGAAAUGAGAGAUGUGGCAGAACGUCUUCGGGCGCUUCGGAAAACUCAAGUUCAAGGGAAACAAACUAUUUUUCCUUGGGGUUGGAGGAACAAGCCAGCAGCUCAGAACAGCUGGCAAUCUUCUAGCUCAGUCAUGCCACAAUCUUUGCCAUCCUACUUGUGCCGCCAUUUCUCACUUACAGAAAUGAAAUCAGCCACAAAAAACUUUGAUGAGUCACACCUUAUUGGUGUGGGUGGAUCUUGUAAUGUUUACUAUGGAAUGAUUGAUGGGGGAGCAACCAAGGUGGCUAUCAAACGCGGUAGAGUUCAGCAGUGUGUGAGUAGAUUGAAAGAAAAGAUAGUGGCGGUGGCAAAGCUCCGCCACCAUCAUCUCGUAUCACUGGUCGGUUACUGCAACGAGGAAAACGAGAUGAUACUGAUCUACGAAUACAUGGCUCGUGGCACCCUGCGUGAGAACCUUUACGCUAACAAAACAGAGGAGCCACCGCUUACUUGGAGGCAGCGUCUAGACGUCUGCAUUGGUGUUGCUCGUGCCCUGCAUUACCUUCACGAGUGUUCCAUCAUCCAUAAUGAUUUGUCGACGACAAACAUUCUCCUAGAUGAGAGAUUGGUUGGCAAGGUUCCAAUUAAAGUCUAUCUGCCACAGGAUAGCACGGGCUUUACCACGCAGCCUGUGGGAAGUAUCGGUUAUAUCGAUCCUGAAUUUUACCGCACUGGGCAACUAACAGAGAAAUCCAAUGUAUAUUCUUUUGGUAUUGUGCUGUUUGAGGUUUUGUGUGCUCGGGCUGCUUAUGAUGGUAGUCUUCCAUGGAGACAAGCUGAUCUGGUAUAUUGCGCCCUUAGUUGCCAGAAGAAGGGCAUCCUUGAUCUGAUUGUCGAUCCCCUUCUUGAAGGAAAGAUUGCUCCGCGGUCCUUGAAGAAGUUUGUGGAGAUUGCUGAGAAAUGUGUAAGUGAUCGUGGUAUCGAUCGCCCUACAAUGCAAGAAGUGUCUGAGAACCUGGAGUUGUGUCUGGCAGAACAAAGCGGAAGCCUUGGCGAUGAGAUGCUGGCUGAAGAUGACACUAAUGGUCCUUCAAGGACAGAACGUUGGCUGCACCUGGAGAUGUACCUUGCAAAACACGAUGCUUUGGAAUGGUCUAGGAAUGCUGGUGGUGUGGAUUCCGAUUCCGAAUUGGCAAUGCCACGAUGA
rnacentral:rRNA from 1 species